GCCUGUCUCAACUUUAUUUUUCUCACCCAGACUCUGUACCUGUUCGUGGCGCUGUUCGCUCCAUCGCUGGCACCGGAAGCUGUUGCAGGCAUCCCUCUGACAGUUUCUAUCUUGGCCACUGGUGUGGUUUGCGUGUUUUAUACAUCUCUGGGUGGCCUAAGAGCAGUGGUGUGGACAGACGUGUUUCAGUCGGUGAUUAUUCUGGCGGGUCUCAUCAUUAUAGCUGUCGGAGGAGUAGUAGAAGUUGGCAGUCUGAGGGAAGUCUGGGAUAUUAACCAGAGGCACGGACGAAUUAACUUUUUCGAGUAAGUAUAAAUUACUUCCCAAAUCAUGAGCUCCAGCUAAAGAGGGCACUAUCACGAAGGUGAUAACUUUGAAAAGUCAAAUCCGAGUCUUUAUUCAUGAAAUUAUAAAAAUAAUGGCGUAUUUUUAGUCAGACAUUACUAGUAACAUAAGGGCACUGAAGUUAUAAAGGGGGCUUAUACUGAGUU